UUAAGUGACGAUAACCUAGGAGAUACACCUGUACCCAUGCCGAACACAGCAGUUAAGCCCUAGAACGCCUGAAGUAGUUGGGGGUUGCCCCCUGUUAGAUACGGUAGUCGCUUAGC
rnacentral:rRNA from 1 species